rnacentral:rRNA from 1 species
GAUGAACGCUAGCGACAGGCCUAACACAUGCAAGUCGAGGGGCAGCGGGGAGGUAGCAAUACCUUUGCCGGCGACCGGCGCACGGGUGAGUAACACGUAUGCAAUCCACCUGUAACAGGGGGAUAACCCGGAGAAAUCCGGACUAAUACCCCAUAAUAUGGGCUCUCCGCAUGGAGGGUCCAUUAAAGAGAGCAAUCUUGGUUACAGACGAGCAUGCGCUCCAUUAGCCAGUUGGCGGGGUGACGGCCCACCAAGGCGACGAUGGAUAGGGGUUCUGAGAGGAAGGUCCCCCACAUUGGAACUGAGACACGGUCCAAACUCCUACGGGAGGCAGCAGUGAGGAAUAUUGGUCAAUGGUCGGCAGACUGAACCAGCCAAGUCGCGUGAGGGAAGACGGCCCUACGGGUUGUAAACCUCUUUUGUCGGAGAGUAAAGUACGCUACGUGUAGUGUAUUGCAAGUAUCCGAAGAAAAAGCAUCGGCUAACUCCGUG